AUUGAACGCUGGCGGCAUGCUUUACACAUGCAAGUCGAACGGUAACAGGCCGCAAGGUGCUGACGAGUGGCGAACGGGUGAGUAAUGCAUCGGAACGUGCCCAGUCGUGGGGGAUAACUACUCGAAAGAGUAGCUAAUACCGCAUACGAUCUAUGGAUGAAAGCGGGGGACCGUAAGGCCUCGCGCGAUUGGAGCGGCCGAUGUCAGAUUAGGUAGUUGGUGGGGUAAAGGCUCACCGAGCCAACGAUCUGUAGCUGGUCUGAGAGGACGACCAGCCACACUGGGACUGAGACACGGCCCAGACUCCUACGGGAGGCAGCAGUGGGGAAUUUUGGACAAAGGGCGCAAGCCUGAUCCAGCAAUGCCGCGUGCAGGAAGAAGGCCUUCGGGUUGUAAACUGCUUUUGUACGGAACGAAACGGCUCUGGUUAAUACCCGGGGCUAAUGACGGUACCGUAAGAAUAAGCACCGGCUAACUACGUG
rnacentral:rRNA from 1 species